CGGACAAAGCAUCCAGCUUGUCUCCAGCAGUGCUCAAAUAAUAGAAAUGAUUGCAGUUCAAGAUCACACUAAGAGAAAUAACACAACUAGGAAGCAAGAGGUGAAGGCAUCGGUACAAGAGCUUGCUUCUCGAGCUGCUUCCCGAGUCAAGGCUGUAGCUGCGGAAAAGAUCACACCACCAAAUUCGGCAUAUCAAUUUGAGGUUUCUUGGUGAGGAUUCUCUGGAGAUAAUGCUCGACAGACUAGCCUGUUGAAGGCUAUAUCUCCAAGUGCAUUGCCGCAGAUAUUCAAAAAUGCUUUGACUGUUCCCAUACUUCUUGACAUUAUCAAGUGUGUAGCAACCUUUUUCGUUGAAAAAAUGGAUUUGGCCGUCAAUUAUCUGGAGAACUUAACCAGGGUUCCAAGAUUUGACACACUCAUCAUGUUUCUUUCAUCC